rnacentral:rRNA from 1 species
UACGAAGGGGGCUAGCGUUGCUCGGAAUGACUGGGCGUAAAGGGCGCGUAGGCGGAUGGCUUUGUCGGGCGUGAAAUUCCAGGGCUUAACCUUGGGGCUGCGUUCGAGACGGGUUGUCUUGAGUGGGGAAGAGGGUCGUGGAAUUCCCAGUGUAGAGGUGAAAUUCGUAGAUAUUCGGAGGAACACCAGUGGCGAAGGCGGCUCACUGGUCCAUUACUGACGCUGAGGUGCGAAAGCGUGGGGAGCAAACAGG